AUUUUUAAGGGUGUCUUUUCUUCCACAGCUCCUUUCUCCCAGCUGAAAACCUACUGGGAUAUUUGGGCUUAUUUGAGAUGAACUGCUCUGAGCCUCAGAGGAUCCUGUGAGGGUAUUUCACACAAAAAAAAUGAAGACAUCAGGAUGACAAACCCAGCAGGUUGUGCACAGGGGUGAGGCAGCGGUGGCUGCUCCAGGGGAUUUCUUCCACCUCCCAACAUAAAAAUAAUGGCAUCACUUCAUAAUGGCUUGGAACUGCUGCUCUAAUGAGGGAAAACUGAAUCUCUCUACCCAGAGGUACACAAUUGUCCUGGUCAGGCUCUGAGAUGUUAAAAAUACUGUGUAUUUGUCCAUGGAGGCUAUGUCUGGGAUUCCAGCAGGGAAUGAGCCUCCUGUGCUUGGGAACCCACUGUGGGUUGGGGCAGUUUUCACUCAGGGAGCCUCCCUCCCACUUUAUUCCUUUGCAGAUUAUCUCUGGUGUAUUAAAUGAAGGAGGGAGGCCUUGCUCUUAUCAAGUUACCACGUGGAAGGAGAUUACUGUUAUUCAUCAUCUUAUACCAAUUAGUGUGAUAAGGGACAGCCCUGUCAUGGCAUGA
rnacentral:lncRNA from 1 species